CUCCGUUGUUGUCGUCUUGAAAUGGAACGGUUGGAUCUCGUCCCGAGUCUAAAGGUCCUCGCUUGUCUUGGCGUUCUUCUAAUCUUCCUGGGUCGCAGCUAUGGUUCUCUUACGCAGAAUUCUUGUGUCACAUCAAGUAGUUGCUGUGCCUAAAUCAUGCCUUUUCUUACAAAAACGUGUUUUUCCAAGCCUUCUCACCUCAGCUUUGGCUUGUGUUACACAUCUUGCAUGGUUUGUGUAUGGCGUGACACAUGAAAGGAAAAAGGUGUAUCUAAAUGGAAACUUUUCAAGCUCGAGUUAUUGUAGAUGCCCACCCACAACGCUUAUUCCCCUUAUGCCAACGAAUGAGGAUAAUAUUUUCGGCACACCCGUAAGAAAGCCUAGAAAAUGGUGUUCAUGGCCAUCAAUUGACAGAAUGAUGAAUGGAUCGCUCUUUCAGAUUGCCACCGCAGCGUGCGUGUCAUUCCAAGCCCAUGCUUUGUUAACGUUGGAAGGGAAGGAAGCAGCACAAAGGCAAAGGCGAGCUUUUCAUUUGGUCAGCGAUGCGCCGUCACCAGCGUCUCGAUGAAUCUGAGUCCGUCGAACCUCGGCGCGAAUUUGUCUUCCCCUCCCCUUCCCGAUCCCGUUCCGGCGGCGCGAUUCUGCCUCGACGUUCCCGAUCCCUGUCAAGUCAGUCGACCCGUAUGGAAUUCUUUCGUUUUGUUUCCCUACCAAGAAUCAUGUGAUUGAGGCGAGAACAGGAAUACCUCCUCGGAGGACGAGGAGGGGGAGGGGCGGCUGGCGGCUGAGAGGGCGAUGGAAGAGGCUGCCGCGACGGAGGCGGCCAAGGCCCCGGCCUUCUUCAUCUCCUACCGACUUCUUGGUGUCGACGCCGUCUACCUUCCCUCCCGCCCUUUUAAUGGCCCAAAAGAAUCUC
rnacentral:lncRNA from 1 species